rnacentral:rRNA from 1 species
AUGAACGCUGGCGGCGUGCCUAAUACAUGCAAGUCGAGCGAACGGACGAGAAGCUUGCUUCUCUGAUGCUAGCGGCGGACGGGUGAGUAACACGUGGAUAACCUACCUAUAAGACUGGGAUAACUUCGGGAAACCGGAGCUAAUACCGGAUAAUAUUUUGAACCGCAUGGUUCAAAAGUAAAAGACGGUCUUGCUGUCACUUAUAGAUGGAUCCGCGCUGCAUUAGCUAGUUGGUAAGGUAACGGCUUACCAAGGCAACGAUGCAUAGCCGACCUGAGAGGGUGAUCGGCCACACUGGAACUGAGACACGGUCCAGACUCCUACGGGAGGCAGCAGUAGGGAAUCUUCCGCAAUGGGCGAAAGCCUGACGGAGCAACGCCGCGUGAGUGAUGAAGGUCUUCGGAUCGUAAAACUCUGUUAUUAGGGAAGAACAUAUGUGUAAGUAACUGUGCACAUCUUGACGGUACCUAAUCAGAAAGCCACGGCUAACUACGUG